rnacentral:tRNA from 1 species
GUGCCCAUGGCAUGCAGAAGUUCCCAGGCCAGGGAUCGAACCCGAGCCACAGCAGUGACAAUGCUGAAUCCUUAACCCAUUAGGCCACCAGGGAACUCCUGCUUUUGCUUUUGAAUGAAAUUUCCUUUUGUAAUUUUGGGGAAAAAAAAAACUUAAGAAAACAAUAAAUAAAUAAAUAAAACUUUUCAACAGGAAUGCUGUCAUUCACAAAAUAUUUCCAAAUAUUUAUUCUCAUAACAAUCGGAGAAGUAAAAGGGGAGGUGGGGGCUAAUGCCUGCCAUUUUCUACAGAAAGACAGACAUGCUGAUGUGUCCUAGGUCCCUAGUCUGGUGUAAAGAGUAAGUGCUGAACUCAGACUUCAGGACUCACACUGUGCUCUUCAGCCAAUCACAGAGAGCGGGGCUGCUCUGAAAGGGAAGAUGGUCCAGACGCCCAGGAGAGGAGAGGCAAAGCUGCCCAGGCACUGGCGCUGAAGGCCAGCAAAGCAGCUGGAAACAGCGUUCUGUCUCCGAGCAGCAUCAUGCUCCAGGCACUUGCCAGUCCCCACAGGGACCACAAGAGUUGUGCUGAUUCCCUCACCCUACCCAUCUGCUUUGGUCUCACUCUCUUUCUUUGGCUUUGGGACCCUCAGAUGCUUUUUCUCCACACCUGCCUGGUCCUGUGCAUCUUGUGUCCCUUCCCUUUCCCCAACAGUUCAAGUCAGGGCCUCCAAAAUGCUCCCCGAGGGGCAUCGUGUGAAUACAGAAUCCUGCCUCAGGGCUGAGGCACAUUCUCCCCCAGGGAGGCCAAAGGACCAGCAAUCACAUCCCCCUGAAGAGUCAGGACAGCUCCACAGGCAGGUCCCACUACUUGAGCAGCGCUGUCUGAAGAAAGCAUCUCAGUCUCCUUCCUGAAAGCCCACCCCCGCACCCCUCCCAUCACCUCCUGGAACCACAGCGGGGGCAGGGGCGAGUGCACAAGCGCAGAGGGUGACUUUGCCAGUGCCACGGAUGGGAAGGCGACCACGGACACGCACUUAGGAAGGAUUUUUUUGCUCAGGGACGACUAGUGGGCAAGUCUGCCUGAAGCCAGAGCCGCCUUGAGGCGUCUUCUCCUUCCCAGUUUUGAUCCAGGAAGGUCAAAGUCACCACUGGACCCUCACUGCCUUCCUACCUCGCCAAAAGCACAUCUUGAAUGACAGUCCACAGAGGCACACAGCAUAGGGACCAUUUUGGUUCUGAAAGGCAAAGUGACUCCAGGCUUCAAGCUUCAGGAGAGAAGGAAUGUGCGGGGAGUGAGUCACCUACAAGGCCACCCCCUUACACAGAAGAGGCCAGGCUGGACCAGGGAAGACCUUCCUUCCUCAUCACCUGAAGGUUGGUCCUUUCUUCAGGUCACAUCAUAACUCAGGGUUUCAGCCUUUUCCUUACGGCGCUCUGUUCCUGAGACGUUUAAGAGCUCGUCUUAUUUCUCCUCCAUCAAUCUGCUAUUCCUGAGGCUUUGGAGAAUCUACUUUUCUAGGAAUCUAUGGAUUCCUAGAUCCAUAGCAAUUAAAGGAAGAUUAAAAUCAUUCAGACACCACCCUUUUGCCAAGGUAGCAACAAUGAAGGGGAAGGAAAUAAACAGAAAGGCAGAGAGCAGGAGGAGUUGCUCUGUAGGUCUGACCUUUGAGAUCAGCCUUGUGCCCCGGAGCCUGAGGAGCUUAAACAAAGCUGCCUGCUUCUUUCUUCCCUUCCUUCCUCCUUCCCGCUUCCCUCCCAGCACCCACUUUUCUCCCCCAUCCAUCCCUCUUUCUUUCUCUCUUUCCUCUCUCUUCCUUUCUUUCAAGAAAGACUCCAGCAUCCCAGGGCACUGACAGCCAACUCUCAAAAGCCUGGACAGGGGAUAAAAUGGGGCUGGAAGCCCCCAGAUCUCUUCCUUAGACUCCCCUCCUCACCUUCCUCUGGGGAAGACGCCAGGAAACACGUGCCCUGGCCCAGGGUCCCCUCUAGCCACCACCAGCCUCAUUUCCUGUGCACAAGAGGCCCCUGCUGGAAGAAGCUGAACUUUGCACAAUCACCCAACAGCUGGCAUGCCUCUUGCUACUCGACUUUUUUGCGUCAAUAUAAAAGAAAAGAAAGAAAAGAAAGAAAAGAAAGAAAAGAAAGAAAAGAAAGAAAAGAAAGAAAAGAAAGAAAAGAAAGAAAAGAAAGAAAAGAAAGAAAAGAAAGAAAAGAAAGAAAAGAAAGAAAAGAAAGAAAAGAAAGAAAAGAAAGAAAAGAAAGAAAAGAAAGAAAAGAAAGAAAAGAAAGAAAAGAAAGAAAAGAAAGAAAAGAAAGAAAAGAAAGAAAAGAAAGAAAAGAAAGAAAAGAAAGAAAAGAAAGAAAAGAAAGAAAAGAAAGAAAAGAAAGAAAAGAAAGAAAAGAAAGAAAAGAAAGAAAAGAAAGAAAAGAAAGAAAGAAAGAAAGAAAGAAAGAAAGAAAGAAAGAAAGAGAAAGAAACUUCUUUCACUUACAGACUGAAUGGUUCUUCUCCAGUUCAGGUCACAGAUGCCUGAUGAUUAUUUUCCCUUGAUAGAGAAGAUUUAAAUUGUUUUUUCUUUUGAUAAGGAAAACAUAAGACCCCUAGGCCUAAUCAUUCUAGCCACAGCCAACCACAUUCUUUUUUUUCCCCCCACACUUGAGACGUGGCUAUUUCCAGGCCAGAGAUUGAAUCCGAGUUGUAGAUGUGACUUACGCUAUAGGAGAAGCAACACCAGAUCCUUAACCCACUGUGCCAGGCUGGGGAUCAAACUUGUGCUUCUGCAGCCACCCAAGCCACUACAGUUGGAUCCUUAACCCACUGCACCACAGUGGGAACUCUGCCAACCAUAUUCUUUAAAAAUCAUAAGCCAGCAUUUAUGACUCACUUAUCCAAGGCAUUGCACACCCUUUAAUCCUCCCAAAUCUGCAAGAUAGUAAUUACCACGAACCUCGUCUUAAAGGAAACCGAGGCUUAGACAUUAAGGGAUUUGUCCCAGUUCAGUAUGUGCUGAGGCCACACUUGCACAUUGGAGGUUCAGUAUCAGAGCAAGGGUCCACAUGGGCCCCUCCGAGGCCCAGCUACAUUUCACCUCCAAGCUCACACUCUGUCCACUAGAUUAUUAAAAAAAAAAAAAAAAAAAAA